rnacentral:rRNA from 1 species
UACGGAGGGUGCGAGCGUUGUCCGGAAUCACUGGGCGUAAAGGGCGCGUAGGCGGCCUGAUAAGUAGGGGGUGAAAUCCUGCGGCUUAACCGCAGGGCUGCCUUCUAAACUGUCAGGCUAGAGCACAGUAGAGGCAGGUGGAAUUCCCGGUGUAGCGGUGGAAUGCGUAGAGAUCGGGAAGAACAUCAGUGGCGAAGGCGGCUCACUGGCCCGGUACUGACGCUGAGGUGCGAAAGCGUGGGGAGCAAACAGG